AUUGAACGCUGGCGGCAUGCCUUACACAUGCAAGUCGAACGGAAGCACGGGUGCUUGCCCCUGGUGGCGAGUGGCGAACGGGUGAGUAAUACAUCGGAACAUGUCCUGUAGUGGGGGAUAGCCCGGCGAAAGCCGGGUUAAUACCGCCUACGAUCUACGGAAGCCAGCGGGGUCAAUUCGGGACUCGCGCCUUAGGGUUGGUCGAUGGCUGAUUAGCUCGUUGGUGGGGUAAAGGCCUACCAAGGCGACGAUCAGUAGCUGGUCUGAGAGGACGACCAGCCACACUGGAACUGAGACACGGCCCAGACUCCUACGGGAGGCAGCAGUGGGGAAUUUUGGACAAUGGGCGAAAGCCUGAUCCAGCAAUGCCGCGUGUGUGAAGAAGGCCUUCGGGUUGUAAAGCACCUUUGUCCGGAAAGAAAUCCUUGGCCCGAAAACGGUCGGGGGAUGACGGUACCGAAAGAAUAAGCACCGGCUAACUACGUG
rnacentral:rRNA from 1 species